rnacentral:rRNA from 1 species
AGUGAACGCUGGCGGUAGGCCUAACACAUGCAAGUCGAACGGCAGCACAGUAAGAGCUUGUUCUUACGGGUGGCGAGUGGCGGACGGGUGAGGAAUACAUCGGAAUCUAUUUUUUCGUGGGGGAUAACGUAGGGACACUUACGCUAAUACCGUAUACGACCUACGGGUGAAAGCAGGGGAUCUUCGGACCUUGCGCGAUUGAAUGAGCCGAUGUCGGAUUAGCUAGUUGGCGGGGUAAAGGCCCACCACGGCGACGAUCCGUAUCUGGUCUGAGAGGAUGAUCAGCCACACUGGAACUGAGACACGGGCCAGACUCCUACGGGAGGCAGCAGUGGGGAAUAUUGGACAAUGGGCGCACGCCUGAUCCAGCCAUACCGCGUGGAUGAAGAAGGCCUUCGGGUUGUAAAGCCCUUUUGGUGGGAAAGAAGAGCAGCAAGUUAAUACCCCGCUGUUCUGACGUUACCCAAAGAAUAAGCACCGGCUAACUUCGUG